rnacentral:lncRNA from 1 species
UCUUGCUGCCGCGUCACGCUACCGCCCCUUGCAUUGUGCCACUUUGCAGCGUUGUCGCAGAACGUUCGCGGAGCCGUUAGGGUUAGAGGUGAGGGAUAGGAAUGCUUAGAGAUAAGAGUUUUAUUUUUAUUUUUUUAUAAUUAGAAAGUAGAUGGGGAGAUCGUGGGGUGGAGGUUGCGUGGGCUAGGAUUGACGGUCGCGUGUGCCAGGGAAGAGAUUGCGUGGGCUUCGAAAUGAAAU